ACUCCUGGGGGACAGGGUGGGGUGGGGACGUGAGUCAUGUGAGUCCCGCACAGCAGAUGGUAGAGGCCAGUGAGUCACAGCUCUGCGCCUUAAUCGGAAGCGUAUCUGAGCGCUGGAGAGAGUGUGACCGCGGCCAGGUCCGGGCGCCCAGCUUGCUGGUGACCGUCUGUUAAACAAUGACAGACUAUGACCUGCGGGGCUUCUCAGUUCACACGUAUUUCCUCACUGUUUCUCGGUUCCUGAUUGUACCUGUACUGAUGUGGUUAAUUGGGGACUGCGCUGGCUUCUGGACUCCGUGCAAGCAGGGCCUAUUUUGUCAUUCUCUGGCACAGCUCAGCGUGCUCAUUCCUCCUGGACGCACUUCUCUGCUCUGCCCGGAGGAUGGCGAGGAAGUGACAUCUCCAUGGAAACAGGUGUUGAUCCCACAGUUGCUUAGCGAUGUGCUGGUGUGCUGCAGGAUGAUAUAUUUUGUCCCAGUUAAAAAUAGUGCUUCGCACAAGAGCUGAAAACAGGCUUCUUCACUAAACGCUUCCUCAAGCUGGUUCUCAGCCUCCCCCUGAAUCAUUACCCUCGAGCCAGUUCGCUGAGAUCUCAGGGAGAUACACGCCAAGAAACGCCACGCUUCCUCCGGGGAAAGUGCCAGUGGGUGCCCACCCCACUGCGGUCGAACCAGCCCAAACCAGGUCUACGAAGUCAGGCAGGGCUGUCCAUUCCAGGACCACCUCCUGGGCUUCCUCAGGCGAAGAGGAAGGACCGCCCCUUCUGACCUGGUUGAAGGAACCUGCAGUCACUCCCGGGUCUCUAUUUUACCACAGCCUGUUAGCAGCCCAGAAUAGCUCCCGAGCCUUCGAUUCCGUGCUCCGGGCAGAGUCUUGAACCGUCAGGAAAUGGUUUUUGCGGUGUGCCAAGGAGGCAGAGGGGGAGGCAGGGAUGGAAAAUCCAAACAUCCCUCCCGAGUCACGGCGAAGAGGCAACCCAUGUUUUCAAGUCAGUCUGGAUCUCAAACAUUGAGUGCCACUUGCGCGAUGGGUUCCUGUCAUUCUUCCCUCUGGGAAUUAGAAGAAGUCGUGACAGCCUGUGGAACCAUCCAGCUGAGUAAGGGGAACAGGUCCCUGAGCUGGCGGGAACUGUUACUGAGGCCUUGCCCACACUGAAGAUCAUAAUGCCAUGAAGAAAGUUCUGACAACUCUGGAAACCUAAGGGAAAGCAUGCCUGUCUCCCCCACCCCUGCCAGUAUUCAGUCACAUAUGUGCUCUUCGUCUUCUGUAUAACUUCCAUCUUGCCACGUUUGAGAGAGAAGCUUGCUGUGUUUGUCUGCCCAAUGGGCUGCCUUCGUUAUAGAUUGUAAAUAACUUCUUUCCAGAA